AACGAACGCUGGCGGCAUGCCUAACACAUGCAAGUCGAACGAGACCUUCGGGUCUAGUGGCUCACGGGUGCGUAACGUGUGGGAACCUGCCCUUAGGUUCGGAAUAACUCCCCGAAUGGGGUGCUAAUAUCGGAUAAUGUCUUCGGACCAAAGAUUUAACGCCUUUGGAUUGGCCCGCGUUCGACUAGCUAGUUGGUAGUGUAAAAGCCUACCAAGGCGAGGAUACAUAGCUGGUCUGAGAGGAUGGUCAGCGACACUGGGACUGAGGCACGGCCCAGUCUCCUACGGGACGCGGGAGUGGCGAAUAUCGGACUCCCAGAGAGCUCGUGAUACAGCCGUGACGCGUGGGACAUGGAGGACUUAGCGUUGCAAUGCUCUUUUAUCCGAGCUGAUAUUAACAGUACCGGGAGAAUAAGCUCCGGCUAACUACGUG
rnacentral:rRNA from 1 species